UCCGGGGUAGCUCAGUUGGUAGAGCGGUCGGCUGUUAACCGAUUGGUCACAGGUUCAAGUCCUGUUCCCGGAG
rnacentral:tRNA from 1 species